CCGGUUAAUAAGUCUCUGGUGAAAUCCUAUAGCUUAACUGUGGGAAUUGCUGGAGAUACUAUUAGACUUGAGAUCGGGAGAGGUCAGAGGUACUCCUGGGGUAGGGGUGAAAUCCUGUAAUCCUAGGAGGACCACCUGUGGCGAAGGCGUCUGACUAGAACGAAUCUGACGGUGAGGAACGAAAGCUAGGGGCGCGAACCGGAUUAGAUACCCGGGUAGUCCUAGCCGUAAACUAUGCGGACUUGGUGUGAGGGUGGCUUUGAGCCGUCCUGGUGCCGAAGGGAAGCUGUUAAGUCCGCCGCCUGGGAAGUACGGUCGCAAGACUGAAACUUAAAGGAAUUGGCGGGGAGCACCACAACGCGUGGAGCCUGCGGUUUAAUUGGAUUCAACGCCGGAGAUCUCACCAGCGGCGACAGCAGUAUGAUGACCAGGUUGAUGACUUUGUUUGACAAGCUGAGAGGAGGUGCAUGG
rnacentral:rRNA from 1 species